rnacentral:rRNA from 1 species
AUUGAACGCUGGCGGCAGGCCUAACACAUGCAAGUCGAGCGGAGCGGCGGACGGGUGAGUAAUGCCUAGGACUCUGCCUGGUAGUGGGGGAUAACGUCCGGAAACGGGCGCUAAUCCCGCAUACUAUUAGAUGAGCCUAGGUCGGAUUAGCUAGUUGGUUGGGUAAAGGACUACAAAGGCGACGAUCCGUAACUGGUCUGAGCGGAUGAUCAGUCACACUGGAACUAGGAAACGGUCCAGACUCCGACGGGAGGCAGCAGGGGGGAAUAUUGGAAAAUGGGCGAAAGCCUGAUCCAGCCAUGCCGCGUGUGUGAAGAAGGUCUUCGGAUUGUAAAGCACUUUAAGUUGGGAGGCGUUACCAACAGAAUAAGCACCGGCUAACUUCGUGCCAGCAGCCGCGGUAAUAC